CCUACGGGUGGCAGCAGUGGGGAAUAUUGGACAAUGGGGGCAACCCUGAUCCAGCCAUGCCGCGUGUGUGAAGAAGGCCCUCGGGUUGUAAAGCACUUUCAGUGAGGAAGAACGCCUGGUGGUUAAUACCCAUCAGGAAAGACAUCACUCACAGAAGAAGCACCGGCUAACUCCGUGCCAGCAGCCGCGGUAAUACGGAGGGUGCGAGCGUUAAUCGGAAUUACUGGGCGUAAAGCGCGCGUAGGUGGCUUAAUAAGCCGGUUGUGAAAGCCCCGGGCUCAACCUGGGAACGGCAUCCGGAACUGUCAAGCUAGAGUGCAGGAGAGGAAGGUAGAAUUCCCGGUGUAGCGGUGAAAUGCGUAGAGAUCGGGAGGAAUACCAGUGGCGAAGGCGGCCUUCUGGACUGACACUGACACUGAGGUGCGAAAGCGUGGGUAGCAAACAGGAUUAGAUACCCGUGUAGUC
rnacentral:rRNA from 1 species